GCCAGCCGCCGCGGUAACACCGGCAGCUCUAGUGGUAGCUGUUUUAUUGGGCCUAAAGCGUUCGUAAGCCGGUUUAAUAAGUCUCUAGGUGAAAAUCCUAUAGCUUAACUGUGGGAAUUGCUGGAGAUACUAUUAGACUUGAGAUCGGGAGAGGUCAGAGGGUACGUCCCUGGGGUAAGGGGUCGAAAAUCCUGUAAAUCCUAGGAGGACCACCUGUGGCGAAGGCGUCUGACUAGAACGAAUCUGACGGUGAGGAACGAAAGCUAGGGGCGCGAACCGGAUUAGAUACCCGGGUAGUCCUAGCCGUAAACUAUGCGGACUUGGUGUGAGGGUGGCUUUGAGCCGUCCUGGUGCCGAAGGGAAGCUGUUAAGUCCGCCGCCUGGGAAGUACGGUCGCAAGACUGAAACUUAAAGGAAUUGGCGGGGAGCACCACAACGCGUGGAGCCCUGCGGUUUAAUUGGAUUCAACGCCGGAGAUCUCACCAGCGGCGACAGCAGUAUGAUGACCAGGUUGAUGACUUUGUUUGACAAGCUGAGGGGUGGUGCAUGG
rnacentral:rRNA from 1 species